UUUGUUCAAUUUAAUUAAUUAAAAUGAGCACAUACAACACAACUCUUGGUAAAAAUGGUCCCAACUUAAUUUUAUUUAACAUAAACAAUGUAAUUUUCAAAAAAUUAGGUUUACAAGAUUUUUUUAAAUUGAGUCAACAAGAAUAUUUUUCGUUCGUCUUAACCGGAUGUACGUCAUCAGCUGAAACGGAUGCAGAUGGAUUGUUCAGCUGCAUACAUGUGAGAUGGGUAAGUGGCCAUUUCAAUCUAUCACCAUCCAUCUUAUUUAAUUAACAAAUUAAUUAAAAUAUGCUUUUUUAACAUCUUGUUGCGUACCAGAAAGUAAUUUUUCUAUAAGCAUGGUAUGAAAAUAGCUCUUAAGUGUGUCGUUUGUAGCUGAUGUUAGGUUUCUGGACUCAGCAUGCAGUCUUAUAUUUAAAUCAUUCUCUUUUUUUUUUUUUUUUUCUUCUGAAAGUAUCAAAUAAAGUUAGCAUGAAGAAUCGCAGAACAGAGAGAACAUAAAUAUAUAUUCAGUACCAUAAAUUAAUGUAUAAAACCAGUGCCAUAAGACACCCCCGAUCAUUAGAAAUGGCCAAACUGUCCCACAGGAUUUUAAAUUCUUACUCUGCAUUCAGCUGUUGUUAGGGUGACAAAAACGUUUCAAAUGUAUAUUUUAGUUCUUCAUCAACUGCAUAUAGUUUAUCGCUAGUAAAAACGAUUUGAGAUGCCAAUCAAAGCGCGCAGUAGCCAAUCCAAGGCUUUAAAUUAGUCACGCUUGUUGAGGUCACGUGUUCGUGACUGAAUUCACCGCAUUCACAAAGUCUCUCGUCUUAAUCAACAAAUAGAGUUUUAGCGACGUAAGUACGAGAUAAAUUUCGCUGCUUUAGUAAUUGUAAGUGGAGUUUUGCAUAUCUUUUGCUAAAUUAUGGUCAUUGACCGACUUAUGUCUGUGUAGGCAGCUAAUAACAUCAUGUUUCUCCAAGCGCUUGUACAUUACGUGUAAAUUAAUGUUAUUCUGUUACUUGACAUUAAUAUAUCAAGAGGAAUAAUCGACAAUAAUGAUUUGUCAUAAAUAAUUUGGCAGCCUGACCCUGUACUAAAUACUUUUUUUUUCUUUGUAGCAUUUUAAACUUUUUUUCUUUUCUUUGCUGAAUUGCCCAUAAACAAGACCUCUGUAAUUUAUGUCUUCAGAUUAAUGCUGAAUUUCGUCGGAUCACAACCCUUACUUUACAGUCCAAAUUCCUGUCCCAACUGUAUCAGUUUUCUGAAGAUCAGCUGACAGUGUUUACCAUAAAGGGUGGAGUGUAUAGAAAAAGCAUUCGGGAUGUGAUGGUGCCAAUGUCUCAGAAUGGAGACCAAGCAAGAGUGCAUUCUCAAGGGACUAUGCAUCCACCUGAAUGAAGAUCCACAGGAUCUGGUGAAGGGAGUAUUUGGAUGAUGACCCUGCAAGAAACAAAGCGGACAUCAAGAAGACCUUUUUUGGGGAUCUGUGAUGUAAAGCAUGAAUUUCCUGCUGCAACAGAAGACCCUGAAGAUAUCGGCAUUGUACUGGAAGAUGUGGAGGUGCUCUCUGGUUUAGGUAAUGUAGCAUUGGCUACAGCCCUGCUAUUUGGACUAAUAUACUCUUUAAAUCUUACUCAUCCACAGGAGUUCCAUUACACUUUUAAGAUGCUCCAAAAAAUGAUUCUUGAACUGGACUUGUGUAAAUUGUCUGCCAAAGCACGGGCACUGAAAAAAAAACUCCUCCGUUAGGUGUGCUGUGUUUGAGGAUCACUUUGUGGACACUGUGUUUUAUUUUCUUGUAAGCUCGUGUUAUUGUUGUACUGCAUUUUUGCAUGGUGAGCAGAGGUGAUUAAGUCUCUCAACCUCAUUUAAUUGGCUCACUCAUUUAAUCUCAUGUUAAAAAAAUAAAAUAAAAUGCUGUUAUUCUCUUGUA